UCAAAGUGCUGUCCUUGUACGAAUCCUCGUUCAGAGAGUCGAGUUCCGAGAUAGCUUCAUCGAAAGCCUGUUUCGCAAGGUGGCAGGCCCUGAUGGGAAAAAAACCAAAUGAGAUGUUCGAAUGUUAUUUGUCUAGUACAUCUGGAGAAGCAUUUGUUCAGAUCUCCUGGUUAGGAUAUAGAGAAGGAAGUAUAUACCUUUCAGGUGAAUUCAGUAUCUCAUAAUAGAAGACUGAGAAAUUCAGUGCUAAGCCCAAUCUAAUUGGGUGCGUGGGAGCCAAAUCAGCCUCUGCCAAACUAGUAGCUUUCUGCAACCAUUUAAAAGGGAACUUAGUAAAGUUGCUGAGUUGCAGUUUUACAGUCAUAAAAUGUUAUUGAAAACGAUGACCAAUGAGAUAUUACAAAGGAACUGUCAACUGAAGAAUACAACUACCAGAAUUUGACACACAUCAUCCCUAAGGUAUAGAGAAUUGUAAACCAGAUUGAGUUUAGAGGAUCAGUGAGCCCUUGAUAUAUAACUGGGAUGAUUGAAGCAAACUGGAAACAAUAUGAGGUAGACGGGCAUGGAAAGCUAGAAGAAGAUACCUUAAGCACCAACGGCAAAGAAAUUAUAAAAGAACCAACGUCAGCAAAUUAGCUACUAGCAUAGACAUGGUACUGUAGAGCUUCCAUUUAUAACACAUCAUAUGGCUGUCAAGUUUGAAUAACAUUAACAUUGCACAACCAGCAUUAACAAAGCAUGAAAGCUUCUCAAGUGAUGGAACCGCAAGAGCAAAAAAUUAGAGACUGCAUAAGGAAUCCAACUAAACCAUAUAUAGUACAUUUGGAGAUAACAGCACCGGAAUUCCACAGUUGCUCACCUAACCAAAAACACACACCCAAUAAACACAAAGGCAGAUAACAUACAAAGAGGAACUCUAGUUACCUCAUAUGCUUUCAUUGAAUUAUCACCAGCUUCCUUCUUCUCGUUACCACUCUUGAACUCAGCAAGAUACCGGUAAUAAUCUCCCUUCCUAAAAUCAAUUCAAGUCCCAUCAAUUAAGCACCCAAGAAAUCAAAGAUCUUAAAACAGAAAAGCAGAAAACGAGAAAACUCAUCCUCACAUCUUGUAGUAGAAGAUGGCCGACUCUCCAGUAGGAGCAGCAGGAAUGAGAUGCUCAUCGAUCACAACCAUUACAUCGUUGCAAAUAUCAGUCAGCUCAGUUUCAACCUUGUGCCUGUAUUCCUUGAUCCGCUUAGCGUUCACUUCAU
rnacentral:lncRNA from 1 species